rnacentral:rRNA from 1 species
AUGGCGGCGGCGGCGGAGGACGGCGGCGUGGCCCGGCAGGCGGAGCUCCGGCGCGCCGAGGGCAACGCGUGCUUCCGCAAGGCCCGCCUCGGCGCCGCCAUCGACUGCUACACCGAGGCGAUUGCGCUGUGCCCCGGCGUCGCGGUCUACUGGGUGAACCGGGGCCUCUGCCACUUCCGCCGCAAGGACUGGGCCAGGGUCGAGGAGGACAGCAGGAGGGCGCUCGCGCUCGACGACGCCUCCGUCAAGGGGCACUAUCUGCUAGGGUGCGCGCUGCUCGAGAAGGAGGACUGCGCUCUCGCCGUCAAGGAGUUCGAGAAGGCUUUGGAUCUCUUGAAGUCUUCAAAUUCAAGGGACAAAAUGGCGGAGGACAUUUGGCAGGUUCUUGCCAAGGCCAAGUACCAAGACUGGGAAAAGCACUCCACUCAGCGGGUUUGGAAGAUGCAAAGUUUAAGGGAAGCUUGUGAAAAUGCUCUGCAGGAGCAUCACUUUCUUAGCGGUACUCUUUCAGAAGACUCUGAGGGGACAACCAAUGAGUAUCCAGAGCAAUGCAAAUUGUUAUCCGAAGUCUUCACAAACGCUAUACUUGCUGAUACGCCAGGAGAUGUGCCCGACUACCUUUGCUGUCAAAUAACUUUUGAGAUUUUUAGAGAUCCAGUUAUCACACCCAGUGGUGUAACAUAUGAGAGGGCCAUACUGCUUGAGCAUCUCCACAAGGUGGGCAAUUUCGACCCAGUGACACGGGAGCCCUUGAAGGAGCAUCAGUUGGUUCCGAAUCUCGCCAUCAAGGAAGCAGUGCAAGCCUACCUCAAGGAGCACAGCUGGGCCUACAAGUCGAACUGA